GAUGAACGCUAGCGGGAGGCUUAACACAUGCAAGUCGAGGGGCAGCACGAGGUAGCAAUACUUUGGUGGCGACCGGCGCACGGGUGAGUAACGCGUAUGCAACCUACCCUGUACAGGGGGAUAACCCGGGGAAAUUCGGACUAAUACCCCAUAAAGAUAUUUAGAGGCAUCCUUGAAUAUUUAAAGUUCCGGCGGUACGGGAUGGGCAUGCGUAACAUUAGCUAGUUGGUAAGGUAACGGCUUACCAAGGCAACGAUGUUUAGGGGUCCUGAGAGGGGGAUCACCCACCCUGGUACUGAGACACGGACCAGACUCCUACGGGAGGCAGCAGUGGGGAAUUUUGGACAAUGGGCGCAAGCCUGAUCCAGCAAUGCCGCGUGCAGGAUGAAGGCCUUCGGGUUGUAAACUGCUUUUGUACGGAACGAAAAAGCUCUGGCUAAUACCUGGGGCUCAUGACGGUACCGUAAGAAUAAGCACCGGCUAACUACGUGCCAGCCGCCGCCGUAAAAC
rnacentral:rRNA from 1 species